GUCCUUUUGAAUUUUAUAGAAGGUCUGACCUGCCCAGUGAUAAUUUUAACGGCCGCGGUAUACUGACCGUGCAAAGGUAGCAUAAUCAUUAGUCUUUUAAUAGAGGGCUGGAAUGAAAGGUUUAACGAGGAAUUGACUGUCUCAUUUUAUUUGUUUUAGAAUUUAAUUUUUUAGUCAAAAAGCUAAAAUCUUAUUGGAAGACGAGAAGACCCUAUAGAUCUUUAUAAAACUUUAUUUAAUUAUUUUUAUAUUACUUUAUUUAAAUGAUUUUUUAUUUUGUUGGGGUGACAAAAAUAUAUGUAAAACUUUUUUAUUUAUUUAACAUUAAUUUAUGAUUAUUAGAUCCAUUAUUAGUGAUUGAUAGACUAAGUUACCUUAGGGAUAACAGCGUAAUCCUCCUCCAGAGUUCAUAUUUACAGGAUGGGCUUGCGACCUCGAUGUUGGAUUAAGAUGAUAGUUAGGUGUAGCCGCUUAAUUUAUAGGUCUGUUCGACCUUUAAACUCUU
rnacentral:rRNA from 1 species